UACAGAGGUCCCGAGCGUUGUUCGGAUUCACUGGGCGUAAAGGGUGCGUAGGUGGCGAGGAAAGUCGGAUGUGAAAGCUCGGAGCUCAACUCCGAAAUGGCAUUGGAAACUACCUUGCUCGAGGGUUGGAGGGGGGGGACUGAAUUCUCGGUGUAGCAGUGAAAUGCGUAGAGAUCAUGAGGAAGACCAGUGGCGAAGGCGGGUCUCUGGACAGUUCCUGACACUGAGACACGAAGGCCAGGGGAGCAAACGGG
rnacentral:rRNA from 1 species